AGCUCAGUAGUACAGCACAUGCUCGGCAAGCAUGAGGCCCUGGGUUCAAUUCCCAG
rnacentral:tRNA from 1 species